rnacentral:lncRNA from 1 species
UUGAACUCAUUAAAUAAUGCACUUGGUAAAUGAUAGUACAUGAAAUAUUAGUUAUAACAGAGUAGACUUUCUAGUGUACUGUGUAUCAUGAUAAUGCAUGUCAGAGAGAUUUCAUAAUUUAUCUGAGCAAAUACUUAGUGCUGGAAUAAUAUCAGAAAGUGCUCUAUGUUUUAUCUGUUAUUAUUUGCUUUCAGUGUGCUGCAUUCUCUGUAGUUUGAAAAUUGUUUUCUGCAAUAAGAUCUGGUCAAUAAACCUUGUUGCUGUGUGGUGCUUUUCUCCGGUUAGACAUCUUGGUUGUGAACUCGAUCGAUGUGAUUAUUCAAUUUUAGUCCUUGACUAUGUCCUCAAUUUUGUUGUGACUCGUUGAACAUUGUAAAUUGUCCGUUGACCAUGAAGUUGUGAACACUUCACCGCUAACUUCAUUUCUUGAGCCUCAAAAAGAAUUUUGGCCUGCAUGGAGAAGCAGGACUUGAAUAAGUUACAACAUGGUCAACCAUGGACCAUGUGGAUGCCAUAUGACAAAUAUUCAUUAGAAUACAAAAUGGAGCAAAGUGGUAAAUAAAUAACAUAGUAGGGAGAAGGUUUCCUAACAUUUAAACAGGUGGGUGACACCGUUUCAAGGGACUAAAAAAUCGCAAUACUCUCUCAAAACAACAUGUUAUUAAUACAUAUCUUCUGGUUAUUAGCAUUAUCUGUUGGAGUUAAUGUUAUCUAAGUAUCUGAAAUUCAUCUGUAUCCAGCUUCACAGAGCUCUGCAAUAACGGUCAUGAGGCAAAGGAUUUCUCUGGUGUAUUUCGGUACUAUUACUCUGGAAAGGAUGAGCAGUAAUCCCCUCAGCUAAGGUAGAUGUCUUGGCUAGAGUUUCUGGUUCCACAAUUCGGAAUCCGGAAAGCUUGAUCCAAGAUUACUUGCUUGGUGCCCUGCAGAAAAAAUAAAAAUCUGUAUAGUAGAUGUUUUUAAUCCUUUUCUUCUUGCAUUUCAACAAUUCACUUGGUUGGAAUUGUGUAUAAAUGAUGAACAGUGAAGUUAGUGGACUGAUUUUUUAAUUUUACUGAUGUUAUAUGAAGUUUCCACUAAUGGUGUUAGAUACUUAAAUUUAAAUGGGAAAAGGCAUAAAUUCACCCCUAAAGUUGUCCCGAAAAGCCAGUUACACACUUAAACUAUUGGGGUGACCUAUUACACACCUAUACUAUUCAAAAGUGAAUAUUUUUCAGCGAGACAUCUAAAAUUGGUCAAUUCUUACUAUUUCCACAUCAAAUUCCUCAAGUCAAACACUGAUUAUUCAAUUUAAAAGUCUUUUUGUUGAUUGUGAGCAUUUGAAAUAAGAAAUUUUUUAGAUCUUUCUUUUUCUGUGUAAAAAGUUUCUGGAUUUUGCACAAAAUUUAACUUUUUAAUGUAUGUUCAUAGAUCUUUCUUCUCUCUUAGAAAAAUUCUCUCUAGAUUUUCUUCAAAAUCGGUAAUAAUAAAUCGAGCAUUAAUUUUUCAAUUGUUUGACAAAGAUCUUUGCGAAUAAAUAUUGGAAGUUUUUGUCAUUCUCCUCUUUGAGCUUGAAUGAAAUUUGUGAUAAUCUUUUGUGGUGGGUUUGGUGAUGGGUUAUAAAAUUAGUGGUGGUGUGGCUUUUAAUUUCGAUAAUGACAAUGAAACUCGUGAUUUUGAUGUGGAUGCUGAAAUUUAUUGUUAUGAUUGUGAUGAAUUUCAAUGGUAGCGAUGUGGUUUCGAUGGUGAAUUUAGUUAAAUUUAUUAUGGUUGUUAUCAAUUUUUGAUGAUGGCAGUGAUUGUGGAAGAUUCUGGUGGUGAAUUUGGUUGUGGGUGGUGAAAUCUAUGGUGAUGGAGAAGUGAAUUUGGUGAUAGUAGCAACAAUGGUAGUGGUUUAAUGGUGGAUGUGAUGGUGUAUAGGGAAGAAGAAACAAUUGGGCGAUAUGAAUUUUCUUUUUUGAAAUCUGACGUAAGUAUUGAUGUGGUAGUGAUAUGGUAAUGACGUGACGCGAGUGUGAAACACUUUCUCAUCAUCUGCCUGGUUGUAUGUUCGUCAGGGUUGGAAUAAAUUCACUUUUAAAUAAUUCAGGUAUGUAAUAGGUCGUCACAAUAAUUUAAGCGUGUAACUGACUUUUCGUAACAAGUUCAGGGGGGGAAUUUAUGCCUUUCCCAAAUUUAAAUUUCUGUUGAGAUAUUUUAGGUUGUCCAAUAUGUAUUUGCUGGGAAGUAGGCUUACAUUAAUUAAAAUAUUUUAUUUAUAUAUUACGAAAAAGGGUAAAAAAUGCUCCUUCUCUUUAUCUAUUAGGAAAAAUUUCUUGUUAUACAACUGGGAUAAAGUUAUAUUAUUGUUAUACAUUAUGUACUAUUAAAAAAUUAGUAAAUAUUGUUAUAAUAUGUUUUGCUCAUAAGUAAGCUAAUAUAGAAACUUAUUUGUCAUUUGUUUUUAUUUUAUUUUUAAUUUCAAUUUUAAAUAGCAAAUAAAUGCAGCGAUGGGAUUGAAGGUAGAAAUGAAACAUAUCUUUCUAAAUUUAAGUAAAAAUAAAUAGAGUAGAAGUAGGGGUGUCGACGAAAUCAAAGAAUAUAUAGACUGGUAGAGGCCCUCUAUGUAGUUGUCUAUUUAGGGCGAUCGAUCUACAUCUUUCCCCAUAGCCCUGAGGUUGUGUCUCGAUCUCCUAUGUGCUAAAUAUAAGGGACUAGUUCCUAUAGAGAUUCCCCUUGGUCUAACAGACGGUUCGGUUGGUUAUUUUUAAAAAAAUUACAUCAUCUCAAUUUUCCGGCUAUUUUAUGAUGUAUAAUCAAAAUUAAUUUUUUUAAAACCAUCUCAAUCCCUAUUUAGGACACAAGCAAUACAAAAUUAGCCUCUUUUUUUUGUUGUCUUGUAGAUAUUUUAAGUUAUUAAUUAUUGUAAUUUAUAGUACUUUCUAUGUAAUUUUUAAAUAACAUAUGUUACUUUCUAUGUUCCAAUUUAUGUGCCACUAUAAAAUUUUGAGAGUUAACCAAUUUUUUUAUAUGUCUUUUCAAUAUUUUAAGUUGUUAAUUAUUGUGAUUUAUAGUAAUUUUUAGGUCAUUCUCAAAUAAUAUAUGUUACUCUCUUGGUCCCAUUUUAUCAGGCACAGUAAAAUUUUGAGAGUCAACUAAAUUUUUAUGUCUUUUAAAUUACUCAUAUUAAUUAUUGUAAUCUAUAGUAUUGUUUAUGUAGUUCUCAAAUAUAUAACAAACUAAAAUAAAAUAAAAUAAACAAACAAAUUAAAAUGAAAAAAAUAAAAAAAUGACCACGAUAAAAAGAAAGCAAUAAGGUUGUUCCAUGAUAAAGCAAGAGAGUGGGUCCGAUUAUGACAUAUAAACAUAAUUGGCAAUGUGUUAGCCAUCACAAAACAAAGGGUACAAUUGUCCAAGGAAAGAACUUAGAAGUGGUUGUGUCUCAUAAAAGAGAAGAAGCAGCUUUGAAAAAGAAUGAAUUGACCAAAAUAGCCUCAAAUUGAAUAUCAAUUUCAAAUAACAUACAUGUUAACGGAGAGGAGGUUGCUAUUUGUCCUUUUUUAGUAGUAAAAUAAUAGUGAAAUAUAUAUUGUUGCGAAAUAGAGUUAGAACAGAAGGAGUAUACCUUGUAUCCUAACUCUAAUCAUAUUCUAACUCUAAUGUAUCUCCUUAGAUUUGUAGUUGUACUAGGAUUCUACUUGUGGCCGUAUGUAAUUGUAUAAGUAGCAUAAGUGAAACGACCCCAAAAAUGCCCGAAAAUGUGCUUCGGAAACACCUAUAAUUGUAAUUUCCAUAUAUCUCAAAAUCCGUUUCGUUUUUCGAAAAUCCGACUUCAUAUUCUUGUUUAGGGGGUCAAAUUGAGUGGGAAAUGGGUCUAACCCAAAUUUUAGAGCAACCGUAUCAAAAUCCGAAAUUUCCAAGUGAAGCCUUUUUCGAGGGUCUACUUUGGAGGGUCAUAUCUCCUAGCACACAAAUUAUUGGGUGGCCAAUAACAUAUCCAUGGAAAGCCCUUUGAGUUAGCUACCUAACGCACUUCGUUUCACCUCAUUCGGAGUUCGGACGAAGAAGUUAUGCCCAUUUUCGUAAAAUCUGUCCGGCAGGAAAGGCAAUUUCCAGUGAGCGUUUUUACUGUUCACCCGCCUCAUUUUUUUUUCUAAGUGUUGGACCAUUUUUCCAAAGGGCAUAUGUUAUUUCCUAUAUACCAUUAGUUCAAUUCCCAUCUCUAAAACAUUUCCCAAAACACCUCUCCCAUACUUAGACACAUUUUCUCUCAAGUUCUCUCAAGAACCCUAAUCCAAAACCUUCCUCAAGAUUGAAGAGACUCUUGCUCCAAGUUCCAAGCUUCCAUUGAAGACACUCUCAAGACCUUCAUAAAAACUCAAGGUAUGUGGUGUUGAACUCAUGGGUCCUUCCACCCAUAGUGCCUAGACUCUAUUCUACUCACUAAUUCAUGGUUUAAGUUAAGAUUCAUAAAUUAGUCUUGUUCUUUGUAAUAAUUUCCUGCACAUUGAAUUUUAAACAUGAAAAGUGAUUGUUUUGAGCAUGUUGUGACCCUAGAACUUGAACCUAAAUUUGGAAUGGAUGUGGAGAUUUUCAUGUGGUAUUGUGGGUGUUAAAAAGGUGUUGUUGUAGGUUGUUCACUGGUUUGGCUGCAUAAUUACUACCCUAUUUUCCAUGCUCUUUGAUUCCAUUACAUGCCUUCAAGGUGUUUGACAAAAUGUCCAACUAUGGAGAAUUGAUGAAUCGAUGCUUUAAAGCUUGAGUUAUGAGAUGUAUGGAAAUCCAGAGAUGUGUUGAUGACAAACUAAGCUUGUGUAUAUGUUCAUUCCAUACGUGAGAUUGCAUUAGAGCCUAAUGGGAAUUUCCUAUAUAAAGUGUUGCAUGACCAUGCCCGGUCCGGGGGAAAAGAACCGGACAACCAUGUGAGAGGUUUAUAUCUCACCACCUAGGAUGCUUGGGGUGUGACCAACAUCAACCAUGUGAGAGGUUUAUAUCUCACCACCUAGGAUGCUUGGGGUGUGACCAACAUCAACCAUGUGAGAGGUUUAUAUCUCACCACCUAGGAUGCUUGGGGUGUGACCAACAUCAACCAUGUGAGAGGUUUAUAUCUCACCACCUAGGAUGCUUGGGGUGUGACCAACAUCAACCAUGUGAGAGGUUUAUAUCUCACCACCUAGGAUGCUUGGGGUGUGACCAACAUCAACCAUGUGAGAGGUUUAUAUCUCACCACCUAGGAUGCUUGGGGUGUGACCAACAUCAACCAUGUGAGAGGUUUAUAUCUCACCACCUAGGAUGCUUGGGGUGUGACCAACAUCAACCAUGUGAGAGGUUUAUAUCUCACCACCUAGGAUGCUUGGGGUGUGACCAACAUCAACCAUGUGAGAGGUUUAUAUCUCACCACCUAGGAUGCUUGGGGUGUGACCAACAUCAACCAUGUGAGAGGUUUAUAUCUCACCACCUAGGAUGCUUGGGGUGUGACCAACAUCAACCAUGUGAGAGGUUUAUAUCUCACCACCUAGGAUGCUUGGGGUGUGACCAACAUCAACCAUGUGAGAGGUUUAUAUCUCACCACCUAGGAUGCUUGGGGUGUGACCAACAUCAACCAUGUGAGGGGUUUAUACCUUGCCACCAGGGUGUCCGGGUGUGAACGGCAUCCCCCAUCCUAAGUUGGGGUUAUAGAUUGGUUGGAUCAUGCAUACACAUAUGAUAUCUACUAUUAGUAUAGAGUUACUUAAACAUGUUUUGACUUCACUUUGAUCAUGCAUCCUCAUAUUGUUAUUCAUAAUGCCUAUGAAACUAUUUCUUGUAUUUCGAUUGUGUCCUUGUUUAUUGUUGUGUUGCACCCCGCAUACUUAGUACAUUCCAAGUACUAACGCAUAUUUUGCCUACAUGAUGUCACCAUGUAGGGACCGGAGUUACUCUUGAUCCUUCUCUUCAUUCACGUGGCUAGUACGGUGCUUAUCCGAGUUGUUGGUGAGUCCUCAAUGAUUCGAGGGCUAUGUUAUGUUUCCUACUCCUAUGUUUUGAGACUUUAGCUUGUAAUUGUAUUUUGACUAUGAGGGGAGCCGGUAGAAUGUCAUGGCCCCGUCCUAUCUAUGUAUGUAGAGGUGUGCGUUGGACAAGUAUUUUGUAAAUGAGCUUGACUCUUGUUCUAUGAUGUCAUUUUGAAAUGGUUGCCCUUAGUCCCUAUUUCCCGUUAAUUAAUGUUGAAUGUACUUCCGCGACCGAUGAAGUGUGAUGACAAGUUUGAGAGGCUUGUUUGGGGUUCCUUCGGGUUCCUCAUUCGCCAUGUCACGUCUAGGCCCUAGGCUUGGGUCGUGACAAUAAGUAUUGUACACAAUUAUCAAGAAAUAAUAUCCUCCCUUCUCUCUGGUUAUGUGUUUUCUACAUGGUAUCAAAGCAUUGACACACACAAACCUAUGCUUCAUCAAACUUGUUCAAGAACCAAUGGCUUCCUCUUCACAGCCUCUUUGUCCCUCUCAACUUCUUCAUUGCACCAUCUUAUGGUUGCAUGUCCUAUCAAACUUAAACCUACCAAUUACCUUAAAUGGAGAACACAAAUUCUACAACUGAUGCAAGUAAUGAAGGUGACUAAGUUGGUCCAAGAAAACAAAGCUGAUGACACCAGCCAAAGAUAACAAUGGAAAGGCAGUUGAUGGACAAGAGAAAGCUUCCGAUAGUAAUUGGGAUGAAGAAGAUGUUCUGCUAAGAACCUGGAUCUCAGGAACUAUGACUGAAGAGAGCAUGUAUCUCAUUGUGGGCUGCUCAACAGCCAAGGGGAUGUGGGAAUGCUUGGAGGAAGCCUACCUUCAAGCAACAAAGGAUAAAGAGUUCCAACUUAAGCAACAAUUGCUAAACAUUAAGUUAGGAACCAAGAAACUUGAUGAGUACUUGAAAGAAUUCAAAGGCAUAUGUGAUGGACUUGCUGCCAUACACAAGCCAGUUAAUGAAGACAACAAAGUCAUUAACUUUGCCCGAGGACUGGGUCCAAAGUACAAGACAUUUAGGACUGUUAUGUUAGGAAAGCCCCCUAUCCUACCUUCAAUCAAUUUGUCAAUACUCUUAGAGGUUUUGACAUGAGAGAAUAAGAGGAAGAGGUGCCCCAACAAGACUAUAACAUGACCUUUACUUCACAGAGAGGUAGGGGUCGAGGGAGUUACAAUCACAUGAGAGGUAACUCUAGUUUUAACUCAAGAGGAAGAGGAUUCAGGGAUGCUAGACACUCAAAUAAUAAUCAAAACAGUCAUAAUAUGCAGACUACAAACACUGAGAAAGUAAAACCCAUGCCUACCCUAUGUCAAAUAUGUGGUAGAAAUAAUCAUACUGCUUUGAAAUGCUUCUAUACGUGGAAUUACUCUUAUCAAGCUGAAGAUGAUCUUCCGCAGGCCCUAUCCUCCAUGAACAUGCAGAAUAUCAUAGGUGAAGAUGCUGCAAUGUAUGUGGAUUCUGGUGCAACGAACUCACAUGACAAACACAUCAGGUAAUCUAUCUGAUCUUCAAAUUUAUAAUGGGACAGACAAAAAAUUGUUGGCAAUGGUUCGCAAUUAGCAAUUACAUAUGUUGGAAAUCUCAACAAGUCAAGUUUGAAAGUUAAAGAUAUACUGGUAGUCCCUAAAAUCACAAAGAAUAUUCUUUCAAUUAGUAAACUUGCAAAAGACAAUUUUGUAACUCUUGAGUUUGAUGAAUUUGGUUUUCUUAUUAAGGACAAGAAGUCAGGAACACCACUGGCCAAGGGCUCUAAUGCAGGAUGACUCUAUCAAUUGGAAGACAACAAUCUUUUUGCCUUAACAACAACACAAGAUUGGAAGAGGUCAGAGAGUAUUUGUCACUCUAGAUUAGGACAUCUUAGUCUGAAAUCUUUAAAAAAAUUUAGUAGAGCAAUAAAUGCAUCGGUGUUUGGAGUUGGAAUAAGGUGCCCAGUAUUUGUACUAGCUGUCAAUUAGGGAAAAGUUGUAAACUUUCUUUUGAGUUGAGAAAUAAAAUUGAGCAGAUUCCUUUACACAAAAUACAUUGUGAUCUUUGGGGAUCAACACCUGUUGAGUCUUCCCAACAUAUGAAAUACUAUGUGAUCUUUGUGGAUGAUAAUACUAAAUAUACUUGGCUCUAUCUCUUUGUGGAUGAUAAUAAUAUAUAUACUUGGCUCUAUCCUUUGAAGAAGAAAUCUGAAUUCUUUGAAGUUUUUCUCAAGUUUCAACAAAUGGUAGAAAAAUAAUUUUCGAAAACUAUUAAAAUUUUCCAGUGUGAUGGAGGUGGUGAAUUUAUCCAAAUUGAGUUUGUCAAGCAUUUGGAGACCUGUGGCAUCAUUAGGCAAAUAUAUUAUCCUCACACUCCUGAGCAGAAGGGAGUUUCCAAGAGGAAACAUAGACACAUAGUGGAAACUGGGCUGACCUUGUUGUUUCAUGCUAAGUUGCCUCAGUUCUUAUGGGUUGAAGCAUUUCUAACUGUCGUGUUUCUAAUAAACAGAAUGCCUUCCUUAGUUCUAAAGCAUGGUAUCCCGUUUGUGAAGCUUUUUGGUGCCUCUCCUGAUUAUAAUAGCCUGGAAGUUUUUGGUUGGAGAUGUUAUCCUUACCUGAAGGGAUAUAAUAAGUUCUCACCAAAGACAUAUCUUUGUAUAUUUAUUGGCUAUAGUAGCCUACACAAAGGAUAUAGGUGCUACCAUCCACAUACCAGGAGGGUGUAUGUGUCUAGGCAUGUCAUAUUUGAUGAGCGCGCAUUGCCCUAUGUGCAGACUAAUAAGCAUAAUAUUAAUAUCUCACCUCAUCUUGCACUUUCCUUGAAUUUUUCUCCAUUGUGCAGAAUCCAGAUACCAGUUCAAGUGACACUAUCACUUCAGGGGAAGUGUUGGACAACUUGAAUGAAACAAUUGCACCAACAACUAUAACAGUGGUAGACACUCAGGUUCAACCUGAUCCUUCUGGACAAGUUCUGACUAACUCUAGUUCAGAGUAUGAUAGUGAAGACAACCAUAGUGACAACAAUGAUGGUCAAGAUGUGGAAGCUCUGUUAGGAGAUGAUCAAAGUAUUGAUAACUCAACAAAUUCGACUCCUGCAAAUACAAGUGAAGAUGGCACCAAUGAAGCGCAAGCGCCCAAUGUAUAACUAGAAGUUGACUUCUCAAAUUGGCUUAACACUAAGCAUACUGAUCCUAUGGAAACUUCUGUAAAUGAAAAUGAAGGUGGAGAAGACAAUGUAGAGGGACAUCACAUGGUCACAAGGAAUAAAGCUAAGCAAAUUUCCAUAACUCACACCUCACUAGCGGCAGAAAAAUUGAGCAUGGAACCUACCACUGUGAAACAAGCACUAGCAAGUCCACACUGGUAUAAAGCAAUGCAAGAAGAAGUUGACGCUUUGCACAAAAACCAGACUUGGACCUUGAUACCAAGAACUGCGUCAUGAAUGUAGUUGGCUCCAAAUGGGUGUUUAAGACCAAAUUAAAGUCAAAUGGUACUAUAGAUAGGUACAAAGCCACGCUAGUGGCAAAGGGAUAUUUACAACUUGAAGGCAUUGACUUUGAAGAGACCUUCAAUCCAGUAGUCAAGGCUACCACUAUAAGAGUAGUACUAUUAGUUGCAGUUAGUCUACAAUGUCCUAUCAGACAAUGUCAAAAAUGCUUUCUUGCAUGGACAUCUCCAGGAGGAAGUGUUCAUGAGCCAACUUCCCGGCUUUGCUGAUAAACAAUAUCCAAAACAUGUUUUCCUACUCAAGAAAGCAUUGUAUGGUCUUAAACAAGCACCUAGGGACUGGUUUGAUAGGUUCAGUCUCCAUCUACUUCACCUUGGGUUUAAGUGUAGCAAGGCAGAUUCCUAAUUGUUCAUACUUCAGUGUGAUAGAGAGACGAUUCUGCUUCUAUUGUAUGUGGAUGAUAUAAUAAUUACUGGUAGCUCUUCUGAGCUCAUUGCAAAUAUAAUCACAGGGCUUGAAAGGGAGUUUGCCACGAAGGAUCUUGGACCAUUACAUUUCUUCCUAGGAGUUGAGGUAAGGUACUUCAAUGAUGGUAUUCAUUUGAAUCAAGGGAAGUAUGUUGUUGAGCUACUUAUGAAGACUGACAUGGCUCUUGCCAAAGCAGUGAUCAUAUCUUGCAACAACUUGACAUAGCUUGAACGUUUAGAGGCUCAUCUUUGCAAGCUAGGGUAAGUUCAAAAAACUCCUUUUCACUUCCAAUAUGGUUGUUAUCAUGAAUGCCAACAAUAAGAAGGUAUCAUCACUUGGUUUCCCCGAUAAGUUUAUGGCUACAGAAGCUAAGUUGGGAUCCACUAUAUGUAUCGAUAAAGAAUGUGAAGCUGAUGACGAUUACAAUGAUGAUGAUGCAUCAAAAAUAGCACCAGCAGCAUGAUGUUGUUCCCAUCUCAAAGAGAGAUACAUAUAUAUAAUAAGAGCCAAUGGUAUAAAUUUUGAAUAAUGAAUUGGGGUGGAGAAGCUAAGGAAGAGAUCAGUGCAUGAGAGAUAUCUUAAUAUUUUCUACUUAAUAUAUACUUGUGUCACACUUUGUACAUCCCAUUAAUAAAUAAUAAUGGGACUACUAUAUAAUGGUAGGAGUGCAUGACAAAUUCCAUCUACACAAAUAAAAUAAUUAAAAAUUUAACUAAACAAACUAGCAACAAUUCAAUCAAGAACACAUCUAUAAAUGAAAUCUUAAAAAUGGAGAUUUUUCAACUACAUAAUAUAACAAAUUGUUCAUAUUUGGCAUAAAUUUGUUUAAGCAAAUAAGAGAACACCACAUAUUAUAGCACUUUUCAAGAUAUAAUCCUGAUAGAUAAGUACAGAGAGACGACAAAUAUAUAUACUCAUGAUAAGAAUAGUUACUACUUCAUAAAUUGAAAAUAGAAAAGCUUAAAGUUUGAACUCACCGGUUAUGAAAAAAGAGAUAUAAUCGUCAAUAUAGAGGAGACGCCUGCAAAGUGGUCAAGAAAAUUAAAUAACAAUCCAAUUCUAUAGAGAAAAUUAAGCAUACAUUAACUGUAAUUUGUUGAUAGAAGAAAAACCAAAUAGAAGGAGA